GCUCCUGUGGUGUAAUGGAUAACACAGCGGUCUUCGGAACCACUGAUGGGGGUUCAAUUCCCUCCAGGAGCA
rnacentral:tRNA from 1 species